GCGGGCUCCUGACCGCACGCGUGCCGACGCGUGUGAGCUGGCCGGACCCAAGCUUUUCGUUUGAUUCAGCAGAACCGUUCGUGUUGACAUCCGCCCCCUUCCCCUCUUCGACUCACGGCCCACCCACUGCACGCGCAAGCGAGAGGACGGCUCCGCCUCCGUCCCAUGGAUGGCCGCCGGCGCCACCUCAUGGUGUUCACGGUCGCGGUCACUGCUAGGUGGUGGUCCGGCGUGCUAGAUCUCACGCCUCCAGGGCAGGCUCCCUCGCAUGGGUCGCCGUUUCCUCAUGGUGUUCACGGUCGCGCUCAUCGCUCGCAGCGCGGAGGCGUCGAUCUGCAUCUAUGAUCAGGAGCCCUUCUGCGAGGUGGACAAUGCCUCCUCCUCUCUGGCCAAUACUUCUCUGCCAGUCGCCUGCUCCCAAGGGGAGGGGCGCUGGAAUACGGGCCCGCAGAUGGCGUCGGCUGUGCAGGCGGCCAUGAUCGACGAAGCCUCCUCAGAUCUGUGCUCAUCGCCACCAGGGUGAUAACCUUUGUAUCUCGAUCCUGCUCAGCAUCUCGGUGGUCGUGCGGUGCCAGCUGGUUCGGUCGGGGCAGCAGGCGCUCCUGGCACCCGCCUAUCCCCGAGGGCGCGACCAAAGGGAGUCCACGACGAGGAAGCGACAGGGCCGAAAUCAGAUAUGAAUGCCAUUGGAGGGUUAGUACUAAAUUCUUGUUGAUAUUUAUAGUUUUCUCUAUUUACAUAGGUACAAUAAGCCGGCGAAGUUUCGUGGUGGAAUCAGCAGGGUGCCCACCGGCCGGCGAGGCCCCGGCUGCCCGACCGGCCAGCCAGUCGGAGUCGGGCCGGGUGGUCUCCGUCGCAGGGCUAUCAACUUUAGAUCUUGAACAUGGGACCCAAAUCACUGGCCUGGAGCACAAUACGAAGAAAACUAGCUUAUGAUUGCAGAUCUCACCCAUGGGUUCAAUGAGUCAAAAAAUCGAAAUUUUCACGGAAGAUGAGAUCGCAAGUCGAUGAUGAGGUAUAUGAUGCUUUAGCCGUCACCUUCUUUCUAUCUUGGAGGAUAUUGAAAAUUUGAUUCAAAGUAAGCCUUUCCUGUUGGUGCUGUUUCGGGACAUUGAUCGUUGCAUGGUCAUGUUCUUCUAUUGUAGACUUGCAGUUAUCAAAGCUGGGUUGGUUUUGAAUGUCCUGCACUAGGACAUGUUAAUUUUUGAACAUCGCCAAUCAUGUUUGUGGUCUGGUUGCUUUCACUCUUAAUUUUAAUUUUAAAAAACAUAGUUGGCUUGUACUGUCCAACCUUUUUUUUGGUCAAGCGUACUAAACUACUAAUUUGCUUCCAAGAGAAUCUGUAGCGGUUGUUCAGUUAUCUAGCUUGGGAAUAGAUAAAUAUAUUCAAGAAAGUCUAUAUAGCCACCAGAUGUCUAUAAACUACAGAGAUGAGACUGUUUAGGAUAUAG